rnacentral:hammerhead_ribozyme from 1 species
AUCCAGAUGACGAGUCCCAAGUAGGACGAAACGCGCAUCUUGGAU